rnacentral:rRNA from 1 species
UACAUGGGGUGCAAACGUUGCUCGGAAUUAUUGGGCGUAAAGCGCGCGUAGGCGGUUACUUAAGUCGGAUGUGAAAGCCCUGGGCUCAACCUAGGAAGUGCAUUCGAAACUUCCGAGCUGGAGUGCUGGAGAGGAAGGCGGAAUUCUCGGUGUAGAGGUGAAAUUCGUAGAUAUCGAGAGGAACACCGGUGGCGAAGGCGGCCUUCUGGACAGCCACUGACGCUGAGACGCGAAAGCGUGGGGAGCAAACAGG